rnacentral:rRNA from 1 species
AGAGUUUGAUCCUGGCUCAGGAUGAACGCUAGCGGCAGGCUUAACACAUGCAAGUCGAGGGGUAACAUUGUAGCUUGCUACAGAUGACGACCGGCGCACGGGUGCGUAACGCGUAUACAAUCUACCUUAUACUGAGGGAUAGCCCAGAGAAAUUUGGAUUAACACCUCAUAGUAUUACAAAAUCUCAUGGUUUAGUAAUUAAAGGUUACGGUAUAAGAUGAGUAUGCGUCCUAUUAGCUAGAUGGUAAGGUAACGGCUUACCAUGGCGACGAUAGGUAGGGGCCCUGAGAGGGGGAUCCCCCACACUGGUACUGAGACACGGACCAGACUCCUACGGGAGGCAGCAGUGAGGAAUAUUGGGCAAUGGAGGCAACUCUGACCCAGCCAUGCCGCGUGCAGGAAGACUGCCCUAUGGGUUGUAAACUGCUUUUAUACAGGAAGAAACAGCUCUACGCGUAGAGCCUUGACGGUACUGUAAGAAUAAGGAUCGGCUAACUCCGUGCCAGCAGCCGCGGUAAUACGGAGGAUCCAAGCGUUAUCCGGAAUCAUUGGGUUUAAAGGGUCCGUAGGUGGAUAAUUAAGUCAGAGGUGAAAUCCUGCAGCUCAACUGUAGAAUUGCCUUUGAAACUGGUUAUCUUGAGUCAUUAUGAAGUGGUUAGAAUGUGUAGUGUAGCGGUGAAAUGCAUAGAUAUUACACAGAAUACCGAUUGCGAAGGCAGAUCACUAAUAAUGUACUGACACUGAUGGACGAAAGCGUGGGUAGCGAACAGGAUUAGAUACCCUGGUAGUCCACGCCGUAAACGAUGGAUACUAGCUGUUCGAACUUCGGUUUGAGUGGCUAAGCGAAAGUGAUAAGUAUCCCACCUGGGGAGUACGUUCGCAAGAAUGAAACUCAAAGGAAUUGACGGGGG